AUGGCAUCUGGAAACAAGGGUUGGGGGGACAGCAGCUCCAGGGCUCCAAGUGCUGAGGGUUUGACCGCCAGUGCCGGCCGCCUCGGAGUAGGCUUGGGGUCUGGGGUCCACAGGCCAGGGGAGGCUCUGCUCAGGCCCUGCUGUACUCCCACUCUGAGGACUGGGGUUCUAGGAAGAAGACCUUCAUCUGCGGGGGGAGGAAGGAGGUGCCUGCGUGAGCUGCAACCCCCGUGCCCACAGCUCUGCCCUCAGGCGUGCGCUCACACUCAUGGGCAUGCUUGCAUGUACACGCACACUCCCACCCCCAGGUACACCCCGUGCCCUCACAACACACCCCUUCCACACACCCCCAGCCCUCACCUUGGUUUUGAGCCUGCUGGAGGUCGAACCCACUUCGCACGGCACCCUAAGCAAGAGGUUCCCUUGGCUCGGAAACUCCAGGUUGUGUCCCUGAUGGAGACCACAUGCCCUGCCAUGCUGCCCUCCAGGGAGUCCUGGGGACAGCGAGGGUUUGCAGGGAGGGCAGGGCGGGUCUGGGGAACCUGGCUGUGCAUUCUUGACCACAGCCAGCUGGGCCCCUGGCGGGGACGGGCUCUCUGGGACCGGUGCUCCCCCAACCCUCUCCUGGAGCCCCGGCAGGUGCAGGACAGUAAGGCUGAGCUCAGCCUGGGGCGGCCCCACCCAAGACCCCCCACCCACACACACUGGGGUGCAGGGCCUCCUACCUCCCGGCGUUGCUGGGAACAGCGGCACCUGUACCAGGCGAACAUGACCGUAAGAACCAAGAGGAUGAAGACAGCAGUGACCACCACAGGCACAGGCCAGGACCCAGCGUCGGGGGUGGACUGGGGUUCUGCACCUGAAGGAGGCAGUUCAGCGGUGGACAGGUGGGUUGGGCAUCCCCCACCCCUAACCUCCUCCUCCUGCACACCCCCUGGGGUGAGAAUGAGCCCCGGAGGACUGCACCGCCCUUGCCCAGGAGGUACAGGAGUGGGAGGGAGCCAGGAGGAGAGGGGGCGCAGGACCACAGAGGUGGGAGGAGACCCAGGGCACGGGUGCCUCGGGGCAGCGAGGGAAACAUCUACCACUGGACGUGCGCUGGCCCCGUCCUUCAGGCCUUGGGGCUCUGGGGAAGAGAUGCAAGGGCAGGUGCGGGGUCUGCCCUGA
rnacentral:lncRNA from 1 species